rnacentral:rRNA from 1 species
GUCUUGCGGGUCGAUAGCCAUGCUAGUUGCACGAGUUCAUACUCGUGGCGAAAAGCUCAGUAACACGUGGCCAAACUACCCUACAGAGAACGAUAACCUCGGGAAACUGAGGCUAAUAGUUCAUACGGGAGUCAUGCUGGAAUGCCGACUCCCCGAAACGCUCAGGCGCUGUAGGAUGUGGCUGCGGCCGAUUAGGUAGACGGUGGGGUAACGGCCCACCGUGCCGAUAAUCGGUACGGGUUGUGAGAGCAAGAGCCCGGAGACGGAAUCUGAGACAAGAUUCCGGGCCCUACGGGGCGCAGCAGGCGCGAAACCUUUACACUGCACGCAAGUGCGAUAAGGGGACCCCAAGUGCGAGGGCAUAUAGUCCUCGCUUUUCACGACUGUAAGGCGGUCGUGGAAUAAGAGCUGGGCAAGACCGGUGCCAGCCGCCGCGGUAAUACCGGCAGCUCAAGUGAUGACCGAUAUUAUUGGGCCUAAAGCGUCCGUAGCCGGCCACGAAGGUUCAUCGGGAAAUCCGCCAGCUCAACUGGCGGGCGUCCGGUGAAAACCACGUGGCUUGGGACCGGAAGGCUCGAGGGGUACGUCCGGGGUAGGAGUGAAAUCCCGUAAUCCUGGACGGACCACCGAUGGCGAAAGCACCUCGAGAAGACGGAUCCGACGGUGAGGGACGAAAGCUAGGGUCUCGAACCGGAUUAGAUACCCGGGUAGUCCUAGCUGUAAACGAUGCUCGCUAGGUGUGACACAGGCUACGAGCCUGUGUUGUGCCGUAGGGAAGCCGAGAAGCGAGCCGCCUGGGAAGUACGUCCGCAAGGAUGAAACUUAAAGGAAUUGGCGGGGGGAGCACUACAACCCGGAGGAGCCUGCGUUUAAUUGGACUCACGCCGGACAUCUCACCAGCUCCGACUACAG